rnacentral:misc_RNA from 1 species
AAGUGUAGUACCUUUCUGCAAUAGAGAAUGUAAAGAGAGAGAUGUACAAAACGAAGAGAGGUCUUGUCGGUGCAAGUGCUGUUUUGGUUCGUUGUAGGUGCACGAGAACAAAGAGAGCAGAGUCAGGGUUUAAAUAUCGGCUUCAAAUCUUAGACCUGCCCAAAGAAAAUUACAAAAUGACCAAAUUGCUACGGUUGAUGUGGCGCUCUCAAUCUGCUGCUAAACACGGCCAUCUGAUUCUGACGGGUGGAGUGGAGAAG